ensembl:lncRNA
CCCGGUGGGUGGCGUUUCCCCCAUGCCUAUGUGUGGGGUUUGCUUCAGGCUGCACAGCCUGGGGCUGGCGGCGGGGCGGGGGAGCAGGUGGUUCAAGCCCGAGAGCUGCAGGCAAACCGUGUGACCUGGCGCUUGUCACUUCACGGCAGUGAGCCUGGUCUGCACUGUGAGAAGGCGGAAGCUCGUUCUCCCAGAAAGCAGCCUCUCCUGUGACACGCAAACCCACCCAGGCUUGGAACCCACACGGGGCCUCUGUCCCUUGGCCGGUCCCACUUGCUCUCUGGAGUCUACAGAUUCUAGAGCUUCAGUGAUUUUUUUUUUUCAACUGAAGUAGGAGUGAAUCUCCCGAGCAGAUUUCCAAAUAAUUCACCUGCUUGGCCAGAUGAUCAAGGUCAGUGCCACAGCAGUGAGUCACACACUGGUGUGCCCCGGAUAGAGAGAAGAGGAGGACACUUUACCCUGAGGUCUUCCUCCCAGAACUCCUUACCCCAGCCCUCACACGAGGGAAACACAGGCAAGUCCAAAUCCGGCAAUGUGCUAUCCCCCACCCCCAGGACUAGUCCUCCGGACUGCCAAGGUGACUCGAAACAAGGAAAGGCUGAGGCACUGUCACAGCCUGGCGGAGCCCAGGGAGACGGGACAGCUAACUGGUCUCCUGGAGGGAAUCCUGAAACAGGGUGAUGGACAUUCGGCAGCUACUAAGGAGAUCUGAAUAAGGAUACUGGGAAGAGCAGCAGGGCUCCACCGGGGAAGAACGCUUGAGAAUUGCCGUGGACUAAAUCCCGGGUCGUGGACAAUCCUGACUCCUCGGUGUUCUCUGGGGCCCGCUGGCCCUGGAGAGAGAGGGCAGAGUGAGAAACGGUUAGAGAAGGAAGGGCAAGCUGACCACACAGGACCCUUGACAAAGGAUGGCCCCUUCCCGGAAACACAGCUCCCAGUGUCAGGUGCUGGGGGAGGCGGUGACAGCUGGCAGCAUGGCAGGUUUCUGGCUCUUCCUCGGAGGCAGCAGAGCGGCCAUCCCGAACUUAGGCCCUGUGCUGUGUGACUUUGGGCCAGUCCCUUGGCCUCUCUGUGCUUGGUUCCUUAUGGGUGAAGUGUUAUUUGGCUCCUCCCAAGAGGAUGUGUGGGGUUGAGUGAGAUGACAUUUGUCCACUGCCAGCACCAGAAACCUGUUCAAGAUAUGUUCAUGAGGAAGAGGACAGCUCAGGCAGCUGAAGGGCCCUGUUCCAGGAGAUGCCUCUGGAGGAGAGGGACCUCAGGCCCAGCCCUAGCUCAGAGCCCCACUGCCCAGGCCGUCCUGAGACUCAGCUCUGUGCCGGAGGAGGACGGGCAGGAGGGCAGGGUGUUCCUUGGCCCCGACCCUUCCCUGCCUCCUUCCUCUGAAACAGGGACCAGGGAGUCCAAGCUCGUGCUGGGCCCGCACUGCCCACGAAGCGCAGUCAGGGGACUGGCACGAGGUGCCUGCUGUCUGGGCAGCGCUGCAAACGGAAACCACAAGGUCCUCCCCAGGCCAGAAGCAGGCCAGCUCAGGACACAGGGAUUCCCGGGGUGCCUGGAGCCCUGGCAAAGCCUUGGACCCCUUCACAGUGCUACUUUUUAAG